rnacentral:rRNA from 1 species
GACGAACGCUGGCGGCGUGCUUAACACAUGCAAGUCGAACGGGCCUGCCUGGCUUUGGUUGGGUGGGUGAGUGGCGAACGGGUGAGUAACACGUGAGUAACCUGCCCUCUUCUCUUGGAUAACUGCUUGAAAGGGCGGCUAAUACGGGAUGUUCUGGCUGCCUCGCAUGGGGUGGUUUGGAAAGAUUCGGCCUGGUUUUGGUUGUUUUGGUGGGGGAUGGGCUCGCGGCUUAUCAGCUUGUUGGUGGGGUGAUGGCCUACCAAGGCGGUGACGGGUAGCCGGCCUGAGAGGGUGGACGGUCACACUGGGACUGAGACACGGCCCAGACUCCUCGGGAGGCAGCAGUGGGGGAUUUUGCACAAUGGGCGCAAGCCUGAUGCAGCGACGCCGCGUGAGGGAUGGAGGCCUUCGGGUUGUGAACCUCUGUCGCCGGUGAUGUAGGCUCUGCUUUGUGGGUG